rnacentral:rRNA from 1 species
UCUAGGUAAAUAUUUGAUAAUGACAUUAUUUAUAUAUAAGUCUUGACCAAGUCUCGUGCCAGCAGUCGCGGUAACACGGGGAAGACAAGUGUUAUUCAUCUUUAUAUUUGGUUUAAAGGGUACCUAGACAGUUAAUCAAGCCUACAUCAGGGACUAAUUAAACUAGAGUUUUAUAGGAGAAGGCUAGAACGGUGAGUUGAGAGAUGAAAUUCUUUGAUACCACUUAGAUACUGACAUAGGCGAAAGCAACCUUUUAUAUAAAAACUGACGUUGAGGGACGAAGGCUUUAUAUAAUUAACAGGAUUAGAUACCCAAGUAGUCGAAGCAGACAAUGAUGAGUGUCAUAUGUAAGUAUUUUAAUAAUAAUGAAAAAUUAAAAUUAAAUUUUAUUUACGUAUAAAUGAAAGUGUAAGCACUCCACCUUAAGAGUAACAUGGCAACAUAGGAACUGAAAUCAUUAGACCGUUUCUGAAACCAGUAGUGAAGUAUGUUGUUUAAUUUGAUGAUCCACAAAGAACCUUACCACAAUUUGAAUAGAUUUCUUAAAAAAGAAAUUUACAGGAGUUGCACGGCUGUCUUCAGUUGAUAUCGUGAGAUUUUGGUUAGCUCCAUUUAAUCAACGUAAACCCUUACUUUAUUUUCUAUAUAAAGUAGUUCGCCAAUAAAUUGGUUAAGAUAAUAGGGACUAAG